rnacentral:rRNA from 1 species
CCUACGGGAGGCAGCAGUGGGGGAUAUUGCACAAUGGGGGAAACUCUGAAGCAGCGACGUCGCGUGAGUGAAGAAGUAUCUCUGUAUGUAAAGCUCUAUUAGUAGGGAAGAAAAUGACAGCACCUGUCCAUGAAGCCACGGCUAACUACGUGCAGGCAGCCGCGGUAAUACGUAGGGGGCAAGCGUUAUCCGGAUUUACUGGGUGUUAAGGGAGCGUAGUGGGUUGUGUAAGAGUGGAGUGAAAGGCCGGGGCGCAACCACGGGACUGCUUUGGAAACUGGGUAGCUGGAGUACAGGGAGGGCAGGCGGAAUUCCUGGUGUAGCGGUGAAAUGCGUAGAUAUCAGGAAGAACACCGACGGCGAAGGCAGCAUACUGGACUGAAACUGACGUUGAGGCUCGAAAGCGUGGGUAGCGAACAGGAUUAGAUACCCCGGUAGUC